UNAAACUCNNNNNAAUUGACGNNNNNNCGCACAAGCNNUGGAUGAUGUGGAUUAAUUCGAUGCAACGCGGAGAACCUUACCUGGUCUUGACAUGUNNGGAACCCUCCAGAGANNNNGGGGUGCCUUCGGGAGCCGUAACGCAGGUGCUGCAUGGCNGUCGUCAGCUCGUGUCGUGAGAUGUUGGGUUAAGUCCCGCAACGAGCGCAACCCUUGUCAUUAGUUGCCAUCAUUAAGUUGGGCACUNUAANGAGACUGCCGGUGACAAGCCGGAGGAAGGUGGGGAUGACGUCAAGUCCUCAUGGCCCUUAUGACCAGGGCUUCACACGUCAUACAAUGGUCGGUACAGAGGGUAGCCAAGCCGCGAGGUGGAGCCAAUCUCACAAAACCGAUCGUAGUCCGGAUUGCACUCUGCAACUCGAGUGCAUGAAGUCGGAAUCGCUAGUAAUCGCAGGUCAGCAUACUGCGGUGAAUACGUUCCCGGGUCUUGUNC
rnacentral:rRNA from 1 species